CAAAGAGUGAUUGUUGUAUUAUUAUAGUUAUUAUUCAGCCCUUUAAAAUGAUGUUUUGGUCAGCAAUGGGCCACGUACAUAGACGGUCUCAUAAGAUAGCAGUAACAGAUCUGAAAACUUCUUACCUUCUAGCAACAUGGUAACUGUUCAAAAAUCAGAGGAUCUUAUUCACUGUUUUCUGGGGAAUCUACUGUAAAGCAACUCUGUCGUCAUAAAAGUAUAGCGCAUGCAAUUAUGGAUGGCAUGCUAUACCUACAAUGGAUGACCCAUACACUGUUAUGCCUGUUUAUCGUUAUUCAGAGUGCAUUCCUUCGUGUAUGGGAAACCUUUACCGAGAUGCAGACUGCCUGUCUAGUAUGUGAGAGGCCCUGGAUGGUGUCCCUGAGACCCUAAAAAAAGCCUCUCUCCAGGCAGGAACUACCUCUCCCAUGGCCAUCCACUUGACUUGCUGCAGCCUUCCAAACACACCAGUGACUGAGCUAGCUUUGCACUGCAACCAUGAACUCAACCCCCAGCUCUCUUAUCACCUGUUGCUCGAAGACCUUGGGACCUUCACGACUGUGACAUCGGCAUGGAAUCCAAGCUCUGGUGGAAUGUGCCACCUCUUGCCUGGACUUCUGGUCUCUCUCCAGCAGGAGCACACAGCUACUCUGUAUAGUUCCAAUUGUGCAUCAGGGGGUCUCCAUUUACUUUCUGUCCCAGGGAGGUCUUUGCAGCAGCCUCUCCCUCUCCCCUGUGUAAAACUUCCCACAAUAAAUCUCCCAUAUGCUACUGCACAGUGAA